rnacentral:ncRNA from 1 species
AUGAUGACAAAAGGAGAGAUUACUUGACAUUAAAGUAACGCCGAAGGGGUAAGCCGCAAGGUGAAUCUCUCAGGCAAAAGGACUUUUGCCGGACA